AUUGAACGCUGGCGGCAGGCCUAACACAUGCAAGUCGAACGGUAACAGGAAGCAGCUUGCUGCUUUGCUGACGAGUGGCGGACGGGUGAGUAAUGUCUGGGAAACUGCCUGAUGGAGGGGGAUAACUACUGGAAACGGUAGCUAAUACCGCAUAAUUUCGCAAGACCAAAGAGGGGGACCUUCGGGCCUCUUGCCAUCGGAUGUGCCCAGAUGGGAUUAGCUAGUAGGUGGGGUAAUGGCCCACCUAGGCGACGAUCCGUAGCUGGUCUGAGAGGAUGACAGCCGGCCUGGGAGGGUGACCGCCGACCUGGCGCCUGAGAGACGGAGCAGACGCGAAUGGUGGGCAGUGGUGGGGAGUCUGAUGCAAUCGUGCCAAGCGUAAGAAAGAGACGUUCGGGUUGGAAAGUACUUCCAGCGGUGGUGAAGGGAUUAAGGUUGUUACGUAUGCUCAGUGACGGUAAUCGGAAAAGAAGCACCGGCUAACUCCGUG
rnacentral:rRNA from 1 species